GCUCUUAAUUUCCGUUCAUUCUUCCAGGCCCUGACAAAAUGGCUGUACGACCGGUGGGCGGAGAAGGAGGACCUCUUGGACAUCUUCUACCGCACGGGGCGCUUCCCGGGGCGGCUCCAUCAGGGCAGCGGGGAAGACAGCGGCAAGAGCCUCGCUCCUCUGCGCGAGACACCCCUGCGCGUCGACUUCAACAUCGUCUGGAUUGUGCUUGUGCAUGCCUUCUUCAUCAUGUCGACGCUGUUCCACGUGGCCCUGUUCCGCUGGCUCGCCUCGCUCGUGCCGUUGCCGUUCUGGUGACAGUUCCUCGCUGCGAUGACGGGAACGGAGAGUGCGAAGCUGCUGUGGUAGCUAAGCCCUGUGCGACGUGCUCACCAUCAUGCUACAGGAGUGCGACUCUGCAGCAACAAGCCCGCCUUGAUGUAGUCCACGAAAACGUCCAGGACAAUUGAUGACUGUGGCCAGACUGUGUCCAUGUGAUGACUCUGUGACUCCGUUCGUCAGGACCGUUCUCUUGCGGCCGUGCCACGGAGGCAAACAGUUUGGACGCCCGCAGUGACGGAACUAGAGUUCGACAGAUGUGCUGCUGCUGUCUUGAGCUACCAGGUGUCCUGGCAUGCUUGGCUUCAGUGCUUGAUCAUCUGUUUUGAGCUCGCAGAAAUGUGAUGAUUUGACGCUGGUGCCUGAUGACCAAGGGAUCUCGUGCUGUACUUCGGCGAGGUGUGAAUUAUGAAGGUUUGCCUGGGCAAGAGAGAGGUACAGUUUAUUGGGCUGUGAUCGAUGUUGGAGACAUUUAGCCGUUACUUUCAGUUUGUUUGUCACAAGGAAAUUUCAGAGCACUGUGGACUGAAUUCUUGCAUUUUGACAAGCCCAAGUUUUCCUUUCUCUGGCGGUGUCGGAGAUUGAGUGUUGCGGCUUGAGCAUUUUGAGUUUCAGAGGCAGGAAGCUUUUAUCGUGGGAGUGAAACACGCACAGGUGUUGGCUGAGGUGUAAUCAUAGCAAAUUGUGUCGGCUGUUGCAUUGGUCUGUCGAGUUUUGUUUUCUGCACACUGUGGUGGACAAUCUGACGCAAUUUGCUAGCAUGUCGGGAGCACUGCUUUUUAGUUAGUGCAGUACCUAAUCGUUGGCCACAAAGAUAACGCAGCACUUUGUUUUUUGUUCUUUUGUUGUUAAUAAGGAACUUUGAUGCUGGGAGACACAUACCCAGACUUACCAUCAUUCUCAGUUCUUUAAAAAAAAUAGCAUUUAAACAUUGUUUUUGCUGUAA
rnacentral:lncRNA from 1 species